CUACUACUCCCUCCGUCCGAAAAUACUUGUCAUCAAAAUGGAUAAAAAGGGAUGUAUUUAGAACUAAAAUACAUCUAGAUACAUCCCCUUUUAUUUAUUUUGAUGACAAGUAUUUCCGGACGGAGGGAGUACUUA
rnacentral:pre_miRNA from 1 species